rnacentral:rRNA from 1 species
UCCUACGGGAGGCAGCAGUAGGGAAUAUUGGGCAAUGGUCGCAAGACUGACCCAGCCAUGCCGCGUGCAGGAAGACGGCCCUCUGGGUUGUAAACUGCUUUUAUCUGGGAAGAAAAAGUCCAUGCGUGGAAAAUUGCCGGUACCAGAUGAAUAAGCACCGGCUAACUCCGUGCCAGCAGCCGCGGUAAUACGGAGGGUGCAAGCGUUGUCCGGAUUUAUUGGGUUUAAAGGGUGCGUAGGCGGCUGAAUAAGUCAGCGGUGAAAGACUUCGGCUUAACCGGAGCAGUGCCGUUGAUACUGUUUAGCUUGAGUGUUGGAGGGGUACAUGGAAUUGAUGGUGUAGCGGUGAAAUGCAUAGAUACCAUCAGGAACACCGAUAGCGAAGGCAUUGUACUGGCCAACAACUGACGCUGAGGCACGAAAGUGUGGGGAUCGAACAGGAUUAGAUACCCUGGUAGUCCACACUGUAAACGAUGAUUACUCGCUGUUAUGGUGAAUGCUGUAGCG